CCUUCGAUAGCUCAGCUGGUAGAGCGGAGGACUGUAGAUUGAAUAGUAAUCUGUGGACAUCCUUAGGUCGCUGGUUCGAUUCCGGCUCGAAGGA
rnacentral:tRNA from 1 species